rnacentral:rRNA from 1 species
AUAAUGGGUCAGCGACUUAUAUUCUGUAGCAAGGUUAACCGAAUAGGGGAGCCGAAGGGAAACCGAGUCUUAACUGGGCGUUAAGUUGCAGGGUAUAGACCCGAAACCCGGUGAUCUAGCCAUGGGCAGGUUGAAGGUUGGGUAACACUAACUGGAGGACCGAACCGACUAAUGUUGAAAAAUUAGCGGAUGACUUGUGGCUGGGGGUGAAAGGCCAAUCAAACCGGGAGAUAGCUGGUUCUCCCCGAAAGCUAUUUAGGUAGCGCCUCGUGAAUUCAUCUCCGGGGGUAGAGCACUGUUUCGGCAAGGGGGUCAUCCCGACUUACCAACCCGAUGCAAACUGCGAAUACCGGAGAAUGUUAUCACGGGAGACACACGGCGGGUGCUAACGUCCGUCGUGAAGAGGGAAACAACCCAGACCGCCAGCUAAGGUCCCAAAGUCAUGGUUAAGUGGGAAACGAUGUGGGAAGGCCCAGACAGCCAGGAUGUUGGCUUAGAAGCAGCCAUCAUUUAAAGAAAGCGUAAUAGCUCACUGGUCGAGUCGGCCUGCGCGGAAGAUGUAACGGGGCUAAACCAUGCACCGAAGCUGCGGCAGCGACGCUUAUGCGUUGUUGGGUAGGGGAGCGUUCUGUAAGCCUGCGAAGGUGUGCUGUGAGGCAUGCUGGAGGUAUCAGAAGUGCGAAUGCUGACAUAAGUAACGAUAAAGCGGGUGAAAAGCCCGCUCGCCGGAAGACCAAGGGUUCCUGUCCAACGUUAAUCGGGGCAGGGUGAGUCGACCCCUAAGGCGAGGCCGAAAGGCGUAGUCGAUGGGAAACAGGUUAAUAUUCCUGUACUUGGUGUUACUGCGAAGGGGGGACGGAGAAGGCUAUGUUGGCCGGGCGACGGUUGUCCCGGUUUAAGCGUGUAGGCUGGUUUUCCAGGCAAAUCCGGAAAAUCAAGGCUGAGGCGUGAUGACGAGGCACUACGGUGCUGAAGCAACAAAUGCCCUGCUUCCAGGAAAAGCCUCUAAGCAUCAGGUAACAUCAAAUCGUACCCCAAACCGACACAGGUGGUCAGGUAGAGAAUACCAAGGCGCUUGAGAGAACUCGGGUGAAGGAACUAGGCAAAAUGGUGCCGUAACUUCGGGAGAAGGCACGCUGAUAUGUAGGUGAAGUCCCUCGCGGAUGGAGCUGAAAUCAGUCGAAGAUACCAGCUGGCUGCAACUGUUUAUUAAAAACACAGCACUGUGCAAACACGAAAGUGGACGUAUACGGUGUGACGCCUGCCCGGUGCCGGAAGGUUAAUUGAUGGGGUUAGCGCAAGCGAAGCUCUUGAUCGAAGCCCCGGUAAACGGC